CCAAAACGCACGCAAGACUCUCUCUGCCCUCCCCACGGCGCCCACCCUCCUCCUAAGCUUUUUUUUGUGUGCAAAACGAUAAGGACAAACUAUUUCGCGACUCCUCCGCUCGCGGCCCCUCCCCCUCCCCCCGCCCCGCUCAGGCUCCUCUGCCCACAGCUUCCGUGACCAAGGCCAUAGCGGACGAUCACGGCGCCAGCACAGCGGACUGUCUCUUUAUAACAACACAUGGUAUAUAUAUAUAUGUACAUAUAGAACAAGCAGCGCCUUUACGUGUGCGAGGCGAGCAUACCCCUUUCUCUGCCUCACACGGCAUCCCCGCCUCUGCUCCCCCCUUCCAUCUCUCCGCUUCGCACCGACACGAUUGCCCACAGACGAAAAUGACUGAUCAUCCGGGUAAGGAGCUGCACCUGCAGGUGCUGGCGCGCGGCCCCCAGAGGCACAUCAGCGAUCUGCACCGCUUCGCGCUGCUUCUCGUCGGCUCUUUCGGCACUAUCUGCGGCUCCUUCGGCUACGCCUUCACCCUGGUUUUGCCAAGGAUGCAGGAGCGCUACAACCUCUCGCAGCGCGACUUGGCCUCCGUGACGACUGUCGGCCUCGUCUUCGGAUUCUUCAUGCUCCCCUUCGGCACUCUGUACGACUACCUUGGGCCGCUGCCGGUAGCGAUCUUGUCCAUGAUUUCGUACCCGCUCGGUGCCAUCCUGACGGCGCUGUGCUUCGAGGGCGUGAUCGAGGGUAACACUCUGCGGCUUUGCGUCUUCAAUUCUUUCCAGAGCGUGGGCAUGUCCUUGACGGAUAUUGUGUGCUGUAUGACGGUGCUGUCGUACUUCCCAUCGAACCGCGGCCCCGUGAUUGCGCUGCUGAAGACGUUCCCCGGCCUCGGCUCUGCGAUUGUUGGCUCCUUCUUCGCCGGAUUCUUUAACGAGCAGGUCUCGCAGUACUUGUAUUUCCUGGCUGUCUUCGCCUUUCUCACGAACACAACCUGCGCCCUCGUGAUGCGGCUGCCCCCCUACCACCUGACUGGGUACCAGGAAAGCCAUCUGAGCGAGGAGGAGAAGGAGCGCCGCCUGGCGACAAAGACACAGUACCUGAAGCAGCUGCCGCCGAUGUGGCGCUUCAUCUUCGGCUUUGUUAUACUCGUCAUCUUCAUCAUCUACCUGCCGACGACGUCCGCGCUUGCGGCGUACUUGAACUUGGGCAGGCCUCACAAACUUGGGUUCGCGAUUGGGACGACUGUGCUGACGGUGCUGUACAUGCUGAUUGCCGUUCCGCUGCCCUCAUGCCUGACGCGGCAGUUCGCGCGCCGUAAGAGCGAGAACGUGAGCAACGACAACGUUACAUACGACCGCCGGACGAACGGUUGCCGCUCGUCGGACAAUGAGCCGUUCCGCGCUGAUGCGGAAGUUUACGCAGAGAAGAGUACCGUGGCGAUGGCCGAGGAGGCUGUCGAGAGCGAUGCGCAGCAGGCAGCUCGCGUGCCCGUGGAGACGGAUGUGGACUACGUCGCACCGCAGUACCAGGGCACGUUCCUGCAGAACCUGUGCACACUGGAGCUGUGGGCUCUGUGGUGGACGCUGCUAUGCGUCUUUGGCGCCGAGUUCGUGAUCAUCUACAACGCAACGUUCAUCUUGGGUGCGCUGCAGGGCAGCAUGCCUGCGCCGUCUCUUACUGCUCUGCUGACGGUACUGAAUGGCGUGGGCAGCGCUGUGGGCCGGCUGCUGAUGUCGUUCUUCGAGGUCUGGUCGCAGAAGCGCAAGGCUGAGGACCGCGUGCCGAUCACGAUUGCGCUGUUCUUCCCCACUUCCACCAUCAUCACUAGCAUCGUGCUGUUCCUCGUGCUGCCUGCUGCAGCGCUCCCGCUGCCGUACGUGAUUGCCGCGCUCGGUAACGGCUUCUGCGCCGCCUCUCAAAUUUUGGUGGCCCGCACAAUCUUCGCGAAAGACCCCGCGAAGCACUACCACUUCUGCUUCAGUGCUACCAUGGCUGCUAGUGUGCUGCUGAACCGUUUCCUGUACGGCGAGUGGUACACAGCGCAGGCUGAGAAGCAGGGCAGCAAGCGCUGCUUCGGCAGGCACUGCGUAAUGAUGCCGCUGUUAGUGAUGCUCAGCCUGGCCGCCAGCGCCUUCAUCACGGACGUGAUAGUGCAUCUCCGCUACCGCUCGUUCAGCCGGCGUGUCCUGAUGGAGCGGGCGCGUCUGCGCGGCGAGGUUGCCGACCCCGAGAAGGCGAGGCCUGCAGAGACUGAGGAGGUGGUGGAUGAUCUGGAUGUGAUCCGUGAUUCCAAGGGCUGCCCCCGCGGCGUGUAGAGGAUAGGGGGCAUUGAGGGGGCUUUGCAGGACACUUCGACGCAGGGGCCUGCACACACGCGUAUGCGUACUCACAGGCGAGUGCUUCUCGCGCUCCAAGACGCUUGCCCAGCACACUUUCCCCUCUCCCUUUCCCCUUGUGCGUCCCUCAACUCUGCUGAGCGUCUGUUCAUCGUGCAUACGGCCGGCAAAGGCCCCCCUCGUCUUCUCUGUUUUACUGUUUUUUUUGUUGGUUUCUUCAGGUUUGUGUGCCUUUUUGCUCAUGCCUGUGUGCCCCGUGGAGUUGCGCCUUGUCGUUGAUACUUUUGUGUUCCCGCUUCUCCCUCUUUCUUUCGCUUGUUCACGCUCUGCUGCGUGCGUGUGCGUGUGCGUGUGUGUGCGUGGGUGAUGGCGCUCCCUUCUUCCGUUUCUUGACCAGUAUGAUUAUCAUAUCUAUAUCUAUGUAUAUCCACAUACAUAGCUAUACAGAUAUAUAUCCAUAUAGAUAUAUGGAUAUAGAUAGUGGCAUCCCUUGUUGUUUGUCCCGCACGACUGUUUCAUGGCCUUUCCUCGCCUUUUUGGAUUUGUCUGUGUUCUCUUUUCCAUUCUGUUAUUAUUAUUAUUUUUUUUUUUCGUUUUCUCGCCCUUGUAUGUCUGUCUGUGCAUGUGUGUGUGCGUGUGCCCCGCGUUUCUAUGGUGGUGGUGCAUGCAUGCUUUUCUUUGUUGUUGUGUUUUGGAUGGCAUGGUGACAUCAUCUGCACACGCACGCGAACAGCGAUAGAUGUGAGUAGAUGAACGCUAGCUCGCUUGCUAGUAUCGUCGCAUAGGGCCGCCCGCCCUCGUUGCCGGUGAGGGCGCGCUCCGUUUUCUAUGCUUUGCUGUUUUGCCUUGUGCUCUUUCCCUUUUGGUGCGCAGUCGUCGGCGCGUGUCUCUGACGCGAUUCUUUCGGGAACAUGAACGAUGGAAGACGUGUAGAGGCGCACGCAUACACAUGUAUGUAUACAUAUUAUGCGUGUAUAUCUAUGUGUGUGCGUGCGCGCGAAAGGAAAACAGCAACCAGCAUCACUCCAUUACGUGAGAGUAGGAAGAUACGACCCAGAAGAUGCGUGACGCUGCGUUGACUCGAUUACCAUUAUUUAUUUUUUCUCAGACAUUCAUGUUUGUUGUGCUAAAGCAUAUAUAUUUAUUGCCUUUACAGGUGCUGUUUCCAUUUUGCCUCCACUACCGCUCAGCAUCCCUCCCCGCACGAGCAAGUCUGCGCACGUGUGCCGGUAUUCUUUUUCUUUUUCGUUCCACGAUUUUCAGAUGAAGGUGGCAGAGCUUUCCUCUCCUUGCCUUGCUGGAGCGCUUAGUACUAGUAUUAUGAUUGUGCUCCUUCGCUUUUCUCUGCGUAGUGUUUCGCGUCGCGACCUUUUUCUUGCUUUUAAGCUGUGCGUACGUUUUCGUGCUCUCUUUCCCUUUCUCUGGCGCGCAUGCGCCGCUGACGUGGCCGCCUUUUUUUUCUAUGUGUGAUAAUGGCGUGUGCGUGUGUGCGUGCAUGUGUGUGCGCACCCCGUAGGCGUGUGGCGUUGCCUGCUCUGUGGUGCCAGCGCGCAGGCGCACAGACUCGGAUGCUCCUGCCCUGUUGAGUCUUUGCCUUAUUUUCCUUUUUUUCAGCGCCUUUCUGUUGUUGCUCUUUCCUCCUCCUGCUCACGUGGGCCUUGACAUACCUGCGUGACGCAUGCGAAAUCGACAAGGAAAACCUGCGUAAAGCACAGGCAUACGUACGGCUUGCAAUGUGGAACGCGGGCAAGUACAUGCACUUUCCAAGGCAUACUGCUACAGCACGUCGUACGCCCAGGAGGACAUGCAGGCAUACGAUGACAAGCACAGAAUUCGUCCACGAACUCUUUCCUUUGCGCAGUGCUCCACGCACACACCGCGUCCGCGCGCCACACUCGGUGCUGCACCCAUGCAGGCAGCGACAAAUUUUUUUUUCUUGUGUGUUUUGUUCGUCUUAAAUUUUGUUCGUGUGCACUGUUGCGUUUUCCAAUGCGCGUUUGCUCCGUUUCCACUUUUAUUGUUGAUUUUCCAUUUGUAGUUUUGUGUACGGACUCGUGCUUGCGACGCUGCUUUCGGACAUAAUGGACGCCGAUGAUCAUGGAGACGUGACGCGGGGAGAAGGGCGCACGAGAGCUCUUUGAAGGCAGAUCGAGGCGAGAAAUCGGAACACCGAUUCAGAAUAGCGGUGUGCCCGGACAACAUGCUUGCGGUCCGCGUUAUUUAUGCCGCCCUCCUUGGUCUCUCCUCUACCCACCUCUGCGUCGCCUUUUUGCGUUCCUCUCGAUUCACAAUUAAGACAAUCUGCCCGACUUUCUUCCUGAGCUCACCCGACAUGCGCCUGGACCCCGCCCCCUGCUGCCCUGCACGGAAGGCGCCACCUCUUGCUGCCCUCCGGCGGUGGACCCUGGGCGCGGCCCGCGUGGGUCAAGCCGUGCGGUGCCCCCGGGGCCGCCUGGCGCAGAUGAUGCGGAGUGUCCCGGAGGAAGGGGGCGAGAAGAGCCCAUUAGGCGCAUGGGCGGGCUCGGCGGCAGGACGGUUCGCCCUAGGCGGCCGGGAUGGAGCCGUGACGCGGCAGCGGCGGAUGCGCGGCGGCUGUGUGUGCGUGCACUCGCUGGCUUGCUCGUUGCGGAAGCAGCGCGUGAGGGAACGCCGUGUCUCGUGCGGGUGGAGUCGCUGGAUCUCAUCUCCGCACUUAGCGGCGCGGCCAGUGAGCCUAGCUGCUGCAAGGCAAGCGAAGACGGCUACUUUCCUAUGUGCACACGCGUUGGCGCUGGAGUUCGUUGUGGCCAUCGUAUGCACUCCACACGGCGCGCCUGCGCACCUGCCCUCAUGACGCCUGAAGCCUGUGUGAGCGCAUCGUGUGCGCUCGCCCUUUCCCUGGAGCCCCCACGCACCGCUCUCUCGCCGUGGCGAAGACGUCACUGUAGCGAGCGCAACGAUAGACGUGGCUUGAUGGAAGACGAAGCAACAGCUACAACAGACAAUCGGUGAGCAGACGCGAGGAACGCGUGUCGACAUGCUGCGACAGCUGCAGUCUCAUGCCCACUUGCCUUGCUCCGCUCGCCUUUGUGCCCGACGCGGUGACUUCUACGCGUUCCACGCGGCCUCCUGUGGCGGUGACGUGUUUUGUGCGGUGCGCUCGUCUGCUCCGUUUCCCUCUCUAGCGUCUGGUCGUGCCAGCACGCCCCCGCUCUC
rnacentral:misc_RNA from 1 species